UACCAGCACCCCGAGUGGUCGGGACGAUUAUUGGGCCUAAAGCAUCCGUAGCCGGUUCUACAAGUCUUCCGUUAAAUCCACCUGCUUAACAGAUGGGCUGCGGAGGAUACUAUAGAGCUAGGAGGCGGGAGAGGCAAGCGGUACUUAGUGGGUAGGGGUAAAAUCCGUUGAUCCAUUGAAGACCACCAGUGGCGAAGGCGGCUUGCCAGAACGCACUCGACAGUGAGGGAUGAAAGCUGGGGGAGCAAACCGG
rnacentral:rRNA from 1 species